CGGGCUUCCAGAUCUGUCCCUUGUUGUUUAAAACUGGAUGAGAUGACAAUGCAAAAAAAUGGAAGUAACAAGAAGCAUCAUACUUUUCUUCUCCUCAGCAGUGUUGAGAAAAAACUGUGGAUCCUGGAAUUUUACUGUGGAUUUUACUGGUUUUCUGGAGUACUUUCCCAUUGAAACAGCGAUUGCCUUCUGUCCAGGGAGAGUCAACGCAGGAGGAGCCGAUGUGCCCGCGUUCAGAGUUACAGACUUUCUGAUAGCACCCGUGAAGAAAAAAAGUAUGUCCCGUGGUGGUAAUGCAUGCGUGUUAAAUGUCUUCAUUGUAGAGUGUUCUUCAGUACCUUAUAUCAUGGUUUAAAAAAAAAAUAUAUAUAUAUUCAAAAUACCAUUUGGAAUGUCAACAUUCAGUGGGCUUUGAGGAGAUGUAGCAGCACAUCAUGGUUUGUAGGGACAAGGAGAUACAGACCAUUCUGGGCUGCCUCAUUACCUCAAGGAUAAGACAAGAAAGUGAGCUUCUGGUUAUCAUAGAUGUGGAAGCUAACACAUUCCCAUGUAUCUCUUUAGUUCAGUUGAACAGGUAUGUGUAGAUAAGUUCUCCUGGCGCUUGUGUCCGUGCACAUCCUUUGCAGCUACAAAUACAUUCCCUAUGAGUCUGUGUGUGUGCGUGUGUCUCAGCAGGGCUGGCCCUGCAGGCAGGAAGGACUCGUAGCUCCUUUUUGUUCUCCACCAUGGGCAUGGUGGCCCAUGUUGGCUGGAGCGCUGUGCCUUCAGCUGGCGCCUUACCCCCGCACCUAUUGCUCUUCGGUCCUUUCCCUGGCAAAGGGUCAGCCGAGG